rnacentral:rRNA from 1 species
AUUGAACGCUGGCGGCAGGCCUAACACAUGCAAGUCGAGCGGAUGAAGGGAGCUUGCUCCUGGAUUCAGCGGCGGACGGGUGAGUAAUGCCUAGGAAUCUGCCUGGUAGUGGGGGAUAACGUCCGGAAACGGGCGCUAAUACCGCAUACGUCCUGAGGGAGAAAGUGGGGGAUCUUCGGACCUGACGCUAUCAGAUGAGCCUAGGUCGGAUUAGCUAGUUGGUGGGGUAAAGGCCUACCAAGGCAACGAUCCGUAACUGGUCUGAGAGGAUGAUCAGUCACACUGGAACUGAGACACGGUACAGACUCCUACGGGAGGCAGCAGUGGGGAAUAUUGGACAAUGGGCGAAAGCCUGAUCCAGCCCAGCCGCGUGUGUGAAGAAGGUCUUCGGAUUGUAAAGCACUUUAAGUUGGGAGGAAGGGCAGUAAGUUAAUACCUUGCUGUUUUGACGUUACCAACAGAAUAAGCACCGGCUAACUUCGUG